rfam:Oryza sativa Japonica Group DNA, chromosome 1, cultivar: Nipponbare, complete sequence.
AAAAAAGACAAAACGGGGUUUCCGUGUCUAACAUUUGACUGUCCGUCUUAUAUGAAAUUUUUUUUAUAAUUAGUAUUUUCAUUGUUGUUAGAUGAUAAAACAUGAUUAAUAAUUUAUGUGUAACUUAUCUUUUUAAUUUUUUUUAUACUUUUCAAAUAAGACGAACGGUCAAACGUUGGACACGGAAACCUAGGGUUUGCCUUUUU